AGGACGAACGCUGGCGGCGUGCUUAACACAUGCAAGUCGAGCGGAAAGGCCCUUUCGGGGGUACUCGAGCGGCGAACGGGUGAGUAACACGUGAGUAACCUGCCUCUGGCUUUGGGAUAACCCUCGGAAACGGGGGCUAAUACCGAAUAUUCAGUCUUCCGGGCAUCUGGGGGGUUGGAAAGUUUUUCGGCUGGGGGAUGGGCUCGCGGCCUAUCAGCUUGUUGGUGGGGUAAUGGCCUACCAAGGCUUCGACGGGUAG
rnacentral:rRNA from 1 species